rnacentral:sRNA from 1 species
GGCCGGGGCUGGGGCUCUGUCAGUGGUAACUGGUAAAAUCCAGGACCAAACUGCCAGAGCCACAAGGGGAUCUUGGGGCUCCAUCUCCCAGCCACAGAGCUGCCCGGCUGCAGGCCAAGUACCCGGCCAUCAAGGCCCUGAUGCGGCCAGACCCGCGCCUCAAGUGGGCGGUGCUGGUGCUGGUGCUGGUGCAGAUGCUGGCCUGCUGGCUGGUGCGCGGGCUGGCCUGGCGCUGGCUGCUGUUCUGGGCCUACGCCUUUGGUGGCUGCGUGAACCACUCGCUGACGCUGGCCAUCCACGACAUCUCACACAACGCGGCCUUCGGCACGGGCUGUGCGGCGCGCAACCGCUGGCUGGCCGUGUUCGCCAACCUGCCCGUGGGUGUGCCCUACGCCGCCUCCUUCAAGAAGUACCACGUGGACCACCACCGCUACCUGGGCGGCGACGGGCUGGACGUGGACGUGCCCACGCGUCUGGAGGGUUGGUUCUUCUGCACGCCCGCCCGCAAGCUGCUCUGGCUGGUGCUGCAGCCCUUCUUCUACUCGCUGCGGCCGCUCUGCGUCCACCCCAAGGCCGUGACCCGCAUGGAGGUGCUCAACACGCUGGUGCAGCUGGCGGCCGACCUGGCCAUCUUUGCCCUCUGGGGGCUCAAGCCCGUGGUCUACCUGCUGGCCAGCUCCUUCCUGGGCCUGGGCCUGCACCCCAUCUCGGGCCACUUCGUGGCCGAGCACUACAUGUUCCUCAAGGGCCACGAGACCUACUCCUACUAUGGGCCUCUCAACUGGAUCACCUUCAAUGUGGGCUACCACGUGGAGCACCACGACUUCCCCAGCAUCCCGG